GGAUUGACUACAAAAGGGCAUGAGGGAAUGUUUUGGGAUAAAGUUUUGUGUUUUAGCUUUUGUAUUUAGGUCUGUGGUUUAUUAUGAGUUAAAUUUUGCGUAUAGUGUGAGGUAAGGAUUGAAGUAGGUUUUUUUUGGUUUUUGUUUUGUUUUGUUUUUGUUUUUUGUUUUUUUUUUUUGACGGAGUUCUGCUCUGUCACCAGGCUGGAUGGAGUGCAGUGGUGCGAUCUCGGC
rnacentral:lncRNA from 10 species